UUCUGAGGCCUCCCCAGCCAUGUGGAACUGUACUACGUAGGCCCUGGGGAUACUGCUCAUUCCAUCUCCUCAAGGGAUUUACUUGUGGAUAAACCAAGUAAACGGGCACUUGCCACAGAAAGGAUGACUUCUUUACUUGGAACCAAAGCAGAAUCAGCCUGGCAGCUGGCAAGUCAUGGAGAACUGCCUGUCCGUCUGUGAGCUAACAACAGUCGCACUGGAAGUCAACAAGGGAAACGGAAACAGAGAGACCCAGCCUCCACGGGGGCUCACGCCCUGGGACCUGUGCCAGUGUGAACAAGGUUUUCCGGACACUAGUCAAAUGUGGCUACUAAGCACGGGAAAUGUGGUUGUCUGGAUUUCAGAGACUUCAUUAAAAAAGAAGAAAAUUUAGAAUCACACACGUGGCUUUCAGUAUCUUUCUCCUGGGCAGUGCUAUUCUAACUGCUACAUUUGUGCAACAAUGGAAUACGCUCUCUCACUACUUCUAGCCAGAGGAAGCUGCAGCCAGGCCUGGCAGUCUCCCCUGCUCUCCUCCACUGGCUUGGUUCCUGUUCCUGCUGGUCCUGGGAGCCCCUAGCAAAUGGACUGCCCUUAUCAGCCGGCUCCAGGCCAGAGGAGGAAUCCUCCGGUCACAUGUGACCCUCUGGAGGGAGAGAGACCUCGUAAAUAAACACAGCCCACUCAGAGGAAGCGGGGAGAGGGGAGGGUCAAGGGGAAAGAAUCCUUGACAUUUUGGUGACUGGGCCAGGAUUAAAGGCCACCAGGCAUAGUUCUUAUUGGCCAUUUCUGCGAGGAAUCGCAAAUCCACAUGGCUUUCCUGGAUGACAAGGCUGUCUUUGACUAGCCCUAGGAGCUGGGGCAUUCCCAGUGUCCUGCUGGCUUGAUCCAGGCCUAAUCCUUUGCCCAGAACUGACCUUUCACAGUUUACAGAGCACUUUAUCUCCUGGCUCAGUGGAGUCUCACAGAGCCCUCCAGAGAGAAGAGAGUUUAUCAUCACCCUCCAUUUACAGAUGAGGAAACUGAGGCUGUGACAGUAACUGACUGACUGCUGGUUACCCACCUACAAGUGACCAAGUGUAGCCUGAAAGCCACAUAUAUUCUUGCAGCAAAUCCAGAGCUGCCCGUCAUACCACUACCUCCUCCUUCAUGGGUCUUGCUUUGUUCCCAUUACUGAGCUCCAUGCCCUGAGCAAGCCAUCGUUCCUGCCUAGGAAAGUCCACAAUCCAAUGAGGAGGGAAGGUUGAAGGGAUGAAUCUCAACAGAAUUGUGCACAGUGAAAGAAGCCAAUCAAAGAAGAGUACACACUGUAUAAUUCCAUUUAUAGAAAACUCUAGAAAAUGCUAACUGAUCUACAGUGACAGAAAGCAGAUCCAUGGUUGUUUAGGGAAGGGAGGCAGAAGGAAAGGAUUCAAAGAAGCACAAGGAACCUUUUAGGGUGGUAGACAUGCUUACUAUUUGGUGCUGAGAGUUUCUCAUGUCUGUACAUAUCAAUUGUACACUUUAAAUACAUACAGUUUAUUGUAUGUGAAUUAUAGCUCCAUAAAGCUAUUUAAAAAGAGGAAGAUAAGUGGGGAAAAGAAUGAAGGAAGUUGGCUGGCAUAUAAUUAAAUAAGUCUGUGCGCAGUCUUAAAAUGGGGACACAAAGUACCAUGGGCACAUAAGAGAAGAAAGUAGAGAUUCAUUCCCAAAGAGGAGAGAUCAGGAAGGAGUUCUUACAACAGGGUUUCAACAAGGCUCAAGGUAUGGGUAAGUAAGAGUCAGGUUAAAGAUUCAGAUGGAAGACGCAGAUAGAGUUUAUUUGGGAAAUAGAGAGUGGAGUAUUACACACAUGCACAACUCCCCAGUUUUUGAAGGGCUGAGGUUAAAACUAACAGCUACGAUCCUCUCUUUUCUUCGGAAAUUCAGACACACGCCCUACUUGGCAGGGAGCUGGUUUUGCUAACAAGAUUCCUGACCUUCUCCCUCCCUCUCUGUGCAGCUCAUCCCUCCCGUCCCGCUGAGGCCCCUACCCUCUCGGAUUUCCUCUUUGAACUGAACUGCCAAAUAUUUGCUGGCUGAGCCACGAACAAUCCUGGCUUCCAGGGCCCUGGGUACCCGUAUUUCAGCCUCUUCCAAACUCCACCGUAGGAAGGAGGUUUGGGGAGAUCCAUGCGGGCACAUGAUGGGAGACUAGGUGCAACAUAAAAAGAUCUUUCUCUUUUUCUUCCA